rnacentral:tRNA from 1 species
GGAGGGAUAGCUCAGUUGGUAGAGCACCUGACUAGAAGGCAGGAGGUCCAGGUUCAAACCCUGGUUCCACCA